UACAGAGGUCUCAAGCGUUGUUCGGAUUCAUUGGGCGUAAAGGGUGCGUAGGCGGCGCGGUAAGUCGGGUGUGAAAUCUCGGAGCUUAACUCCGAAACUGCAUUCGAUACUGCCCGUGCUUGAGGACUGGAGAGGAGACUGGAAUUACGGUGUAGCGGUGAAAUGCGUAGAUAUCGUAAGGAAGACCAGUGGCGAAGGCGGGUCUCUGGACAGUUCCUGACGCUGAGGCACGAAGGUCAGGGAGCAAACGGG
rnacentral:rRNA from 1 species